rnacentral:lncRNA from 1 species
CCUCCGUCCCAUUAAAGUUGGCCACAUUUCUAUUUUGGGUGUCCCACUAAAGUUGGUCACUUUCUAAAAAUGGCAAAAAUUUACUUUAAUUAAGUCAACAAUUACUCAUUAAUUUGGUCAACAAUUGUAGGUCACUUUCUAAAAGUGCCAAAAUUACUUUAAUUAAGUCAACAAUUACUCACUAAUUUGGUCAACAAUUGUAGGCCACACUCUAUUAAAACAUAUAACACUCAA